rnacentral:rRNA from 1 species
GGGCUCACACAAGCGGUGGAGCAUGUGGAUUAAUUCGAAGCAACGCGCAGAACCUUACCUGGGUUUGACAUGCUUGGAUGCCAAUCUGGAAACAGAGGAAGCUGCCUUCGGGUGAAACUUGCACAGGUGCUGCAUGGCUGUCGUCAGCUCGUGUCGUGAGAUGUCGGGUUAAGUCCUUUAACGAGCGAAACCCCUGCCGUUAGUUGCCAGCGGGUCAUGCCGGGAACUCUAACGGGACUGCCGGUGUCAAACCGGAGGAAGGUGGGGAUGACGUCAAGUCCUCAUGGCCUUUAUACCCAGGGCCUCACACGUGCUACAAUGGCGGCUACAAAGCGACGCAAAACCGCGAGGUGGAGCAAAUCGCAAAAAAGUCGCCUCAGUUCAGAUUGUAGGCUGGCAACUCGCCUACAUGAAGGCGGAAUCGCUAGUAAUCGCGUAUCAGCGAUGACGCGGUGAAUGUGUUCCUGAGCCUU